GACGAACCGAGCGAACGUUGUUCGGAAUCACUGGGCUUAAAGGGCGCGUAGGCGGGUGCUCAAGUCCGGGGUGAAAUCCUCCAGCUCAACUGGAGAACUGCCUCGGAUACUGGGUGCCUCGAGGGUGGUAGGGGUAUGCGGAACUAUCGGUGGAGCGGUGAAAUGCGUAGAUAUCGUUUGGAACGCCAAAGGUGAAAACAGACAGCUGGGAGUGUGCUGACGCUGAGACAUGAAAGCCAGGGGAGCGAACGGG
rnacentral:rRNA from 1 species